rnacentral:tRNA from 1 species
GGUCCCUUAGCUCAGUUGGUUAGAGCAACUGACUCAUAAUCAGUGGGUCGCAGGUUCAAGUCCUGCAGGGACCA